rnacentral:rRNA from 1 species
UUAAAAAGCUCGUAGUUGGAUCUAGGGACGCGCAUUUCAAGCGCCCGUGCCGUUGGGUCAAACCAGCGACUGCGUUGGCGUUGCGGGCUCGGUCCGUCGGUGCCAAACGGCGGCGGUGGGUCCCUGGGGCCCAGAUCGUUUACCGUGAAAAAAUUAGAGUGUUCAAAGCAGGCAGAUCCAAUUUUCUUCCACCGAAUACAUGAGCAUGGGAUAAUGGAAUAGGACCCUGUCCUCCUAUUUUCAGUUGGUUUUGGCAGCGCGAGGACUAGGGUAAUGAUUAAUAGGGAUAGUUGGGGGCAUUAAUAUUUAAUUGUCAGAGGUGAAAUUCUUGGAUUUAUGAAAGAUUAACUUCUGCGAAAGCAUCUGCCAAGGAUGUUUUCAUUAAUCAAGAACGAAAGUUAGGGGAUCGAAGACGAUCAGAUACCGUCGUAGUCUUAACCAUAAACGAUGCCGACCAGCGAUUAGGAGACGUUGAAUACAAAACACCACCAUCGGCGCGGUCGUCCUUGGCGUCGCUCUUUCGGGGCCGGCGCGGGGACGGCUUAGCCCGGUGGCACCGGUGAAUGACUCCCCUAGCAGCUUGUGAGAAAUCAUAAGUCUUUGGGUUCCGGGGGGAGUAUGGUCGCAAGGCUGAAAC